rnacentral:lncRNA from 1 species
AUAUACAAGAUAUGCAAAACUUACCAAUAUGAAAAUCAUUUCCAAGUCCGUGAUACUUGACAAAGUGAAGAAUACCACCUUCUCUACAAUCUAGAAAUGAAUCGGGAGAAAAUUUCUUAGGAGCCUCGAUGCUCAUUGCAGCAAAAAUGCGGGAAUUAGGUUUUCGAACAGCGGAAAUUGGAAGCGGUUGGUGAGUGUCUGACUGAAGGAAAAGCGAAGAAGAGGAUCGGAAGGAAUUGAAAGAAGAACGGGAAAGGGAGCAUCGGUAAACGGUGGUGAACGAUAGCGUUAUGGCAGCGGCUAUUGCCAUUGGCAUCGGCGAAUUGAAGGAAAAAGAAGACUGAUUAAGUCAAAAGCUAUUAGGAAAUAAUUGAAACAGCUGACGUCGUUAAUUGAACACAGUUUGUUCUGGUCUUUAAAAAUUGGCUUCAUGGUUCUGGGCCACAAGAUUGUUACUGAACAUGAGUUUAAUUGUAGUAUUUAUUUUGUUUGACUACGCUGGGCGGUAGCAGGUGGUUGUGGAGAUGGAGGUGGACGUGGA